UAGUGACGGCGGUCUGGCGGCUCGAGCGGAGGCGGGCUCAAGUUCUAGGUUCUUCCUGGACUUUUCCCACCCCUCCAGCCCCCAGUCAUGGGGAGGAGGGAGAGCAGUCGGCCAAUCUAGCAGUAAAUUGCAUCUUUUCAAGUAUCGGGG
rnacentral:lncRNA from 1 species